rnacentral:rRNA from 1 species
AACGGACGCUGGCGGCGUGCUUAACACAUGCAAGGCGAACGAGAACGGGUUAUAGCUUGCUAUAAUUGUCAGCUAAGUGCGCACGGGUGAGUAAUGUAUAGGUAAUAUGCCUCUUACUAAGGGAUAACAAAUGGAAACGUUUGCUAAUACCUUAUACUCCUUAUUAACAGAAGUUAAUAAGGGAAAGAUUUAUUGGUAAGAGAUUAGCCUGUAUUGUAUCAGUUAGUUGGUUGGGUAAUGGCUUACCAAGACUAUGACAAAUAACUGGUUUGAGAGGAUGAUCAGUCACACUGGAACUGAGACACGGUCCAGACUCCUACGGGAGGCAGCAGUGGGGAAUAUUGCACAAUGGACGAAAGUCUGAUGCAGCAACGCCGCGUGGAGGGUGACACAUUUCGGUGCGUAAACUCCUUUUAUAUGAGAAGAUAAUGACGGUAUUAUAUGAAUAAGCACCGGCUAACUCCGUGCCAGCAGCAGCCGCAG